AAUCGCUCAUUAAGCAAACAAAAAAAUUCAUUUGCAUUGAUAUUGAAUGCACAGGGGAUGUUUUGUUUCUCAUAGAAUUUUAGGCAGAAGAACAUGCUGGAGUUAAGGUUAAGGACUUUCUUUCGUGUAUUGAUUUUGAGCCUGUGGUACAUUUUCCACAGGGGUACCAUGAAGGAACCUCUUUACAUUGGGCAUAAUGUCAGACCACAUGCACAUUUCAUUCCCUGGAGUACCAUUUUUUUGUUCAUUGGACACAGAGGGACAAAUAAACAUGGAUACAACUCAAACAAAGAAUCUUACUAUAUUCUCAAGACAAUAACACAUGGUCUAAAAUGGGAAAACAUUAUUCAAAAGGCUUUUCAUUAAGGGUCAAGCAAAAUUCUCCUACAAGUUCAUGAUCUUCUAUAAUCUCAAAGUUAAUGAAAAUCUUGCCAGGAGAAGAGGGUGGAUAGGUCCAUGGAUAAAUGGCAGAUUUUGCAACAAAUUUAGUCGUCCAGAUUUAGAAUUUAAUGGAUUGGUAGAUCCUGCAAAUGCAGCAAUUACAAAUUUAUUUCAACUUUUUUUUYCACCCAGAUUUCGGAUUUUGUUUAUCAUGGAGUUCAAAUUGCUGAUCUAUAAUCUUCUUCAGAAAUGUUUUAUUUUUUUGAUCGAAUAAAUGUCAAAUCAUUUAUGGA